rnacentral:rRNA from 1 species
UACAGAGGAGCCAAGCGUUGUCCGGAUUGACUGGGCGUAAAGCGCACGCAGGCGGACGCGCGCGUGGGGUGUGAAAUCUGGCCGCUUAACGGCCAGGCGCCAUCCCAUACGGCGCGUCUGGAGUGAUGCAGAGGUCGGUGGAAUUGCCGGUGUAGUGGUGGAAUGCGUAGAGAUCGGCAGGAACACCCCGGGGGAAACCAGCCGACUGGGCAUCUACUGACGCUGAGGUGCGAGAGCGUGGGGAGCGAACCGG